CCAGGAACAGCCAGGAGACCCUCAGAGGCGGUCACAGCGUCCUCUGCCCAAAAGCCUCCCUGAGCCACGUCAUCCUUCCUGUAACCCGCAGCCUCAGCAUGCACUCUCUGACCACAGUCUGCUGGCCUGGGUGCUCAGCCUCACUCCCAGCCUCUCUCGGAACACGGAACACGGAGGCCUCUUCCUUGGGGACCCAGCCCCGGCGCCAGAAGCAAGCCUCUUUCCGUUCCCAGUUGCUGGCCAAACCUCAGCUCCUCAUCCAUCCACAAGCUUCCUGCUGGCUCCUGCUUAGCAGGCCCAGAUCAGACAGCAGCUGGCAACCAACAGAGCACUACUCUGUCAGGCCUUGUGCAGAGAGCUGGAGGCAAACUGCUCACUUAAUCCAUGAGCUCCUCAGCUCUGCCUCCAAAACGGGCACUCGGAUUCAGCCACAUCUCAUCACACGUUCCUCCAUCAGCCCUUGCCUGGACGCUGCAUGACCUCCUUGCUGGCCUCCGUGUUCCCCACCCACCAUUCUCCAUCAGCAACCAAAGGAAAUAAAUGUAAAACUGC